rnacentral:lncRNA from 1 species
AUUAUGAAAUGCAAAAAGAGGGAGUAGAACCAAUAUGGAUAUUGGAUACAUUGGAAUGCAAAAUACGAAAUUCAUACUCCAAAGUUGAAUUAGAAAAGAUAAAAUUAAAGAAUAUUGGCUUUAAGAUAAUUGCCCUUCUGGAAAAGAAAGGGGGAGUCAAAAAGAACUUAGCUUUCAAUUAUCUUUAGCAUCAAUAUUUCAUUUUAACAUGAUUCAAAUUCAGUUAAUAUGCUAAAAUUGCUCAAGAGCUAUUAAGAUCAAUUUUAUGCAUAAGGAUAGAACUGAAAAUUGACUAUUUUGAAUUAUGCACAUUGUAUCUAGCUCUAAUCAAAACAUUAGACUUGUAUAUCUGAACAAAUACUGUGUAUAUGUUUAAAUUUCGAAUUUUG